UUCGUUCAUCUCCUCUUCCGUUGAGAGCGAUACAGUGGCGGAAAUGAAACAACAGCUAGCUUAGCAGCAGUCACAGAGCUUUAGCUGUCACGGUAAAUCUUAUCGUUUUCUAAAUUCAUUAUUACUUACGUUAAUUAUUGUUUCCUCUCUUAAUUGCUUGUUUAAAAAUCUUUUCUUACCCAUAAAAACAUAUGCUUACACUCCAUUGAAUGACAGAUGUAUCGGAUAAAGAAAAAAAAUUAAUUACAGUUUUGUGGGUGUUUGCUUCAGGUAGAUUUUGGGUUUAACAGAGAUGAGCAGGAUUUAUAAUAACUCGAAUAAAUUAUAUUCGGGAUUUAAUAAAAUGCUAAAGAGAAGAUACAUGUCAAGUGAAACAAGUGAUACAACGAAAACAAUAUGUAAAAUUAUGAUGUCUUCGUCGGUAGUCACACUUGAUACUGCCCUUGAUCAAAGUGGGGUUAGGGUUUCAGAACAGAUAGUGGAGGAUGUCCUUAAGAAGUUUGAAAAUGCUGGGAUGGUGGCUUAUCGAUUCUUCGAAUGGGCCGAGAAACAACGGCAUUAUAACCAUAGUGUUAAGGCUUUCCAUACUGUGAUUGAUUCUCUAGCUAAGAUAAGGCAGUAUCAGCUAAUGUGGGAUGUUGUGAAGGUUAUGAAGAGUAAGAGAAUGGUAAAUGUUGAGACCUUUUGUAUUAUUAUGAGAAAGUAUGCUAGAGCUCAGAAGGUGGAGGAGGCUGUUUACACGUUUAAUAUCAUGGAUAAGUAUGAUGUGCCUCCAAAUUUAGCGGCGUUUAAUGGGUUGCUUAGUGCUUUAUGUAAGUCUAAGAAUGUAAGGAAGGCUCAGGAGAUCUUUGACAGUAUGAAGGACCGGUUUGUUCCGGACUCAAAAACUUAUAGUAUAUUGCUUGAAGGAUGGGGAAAGGAUCCAAAUCUGCCUAAAGCAAGGGAGAUUUUCAGAGAAAUGGUCAGCAAUGGUUGUAGACCUGAUAUCGUGACUUAUGGUAUCAUGGUAGAUGUGCUUUGCAAGGCUGGGAGGGUUGAUGAAGCCCUUGGAAUUGUCAGUGAAAUGGACUCUACAUUUUGCAAGCCAACUCCUUUCAUUUAUAGUGUUCUGGUUCAUACAUACGGAAUAGAGAAUCGGAUUGAGGAUGCUGUCAGCACCUUCCUAGAGAUGGAAAAUAAUGGAAUCGAGGCUGAUGUUGCAGUUUAUAAUGCUUUGAUCGGUGCUUUUUGUAAAGCAAACAGGCUUAAAAACAUUUACAGAGUCUUAAAUGAGAUGGAUUGCAAGGGUGUGAUGCCCAAUUCAAGGACCUUCAAUAUCAUUCUGAGCAGUUUAAUUGGCCGUGGAGAGACUGAUGAGGCUUAUAGGGUAUUUCUCAGGAUGAUCAAGGUAUGCGAGCCAGAUGCAGAUACAUAUACUAUGAUGAUAAAAAUGUUUUGUGAGAGGGAUGAGCUAAAAAAGGCACUUAAAGUGUGGAAGUACAUGAAGUUGAAGCGGUUUAUGCCGAGCAUGCACACUUUUCAAGUUCUUAUAAAUGGACUCUGCGAGAAGGGUGAUGUCACUCAGGCUUGUGUCUUAUUGGAAGAGAUGAUAGAAAAGGGAAUUCGGCCUUCAGGUGUGACAUUUGGGAGGUUAAGACAAUUGCUUAUAAAAGAAGGAAGAGAAGAUGUACUAAAAUUUCUUCAGAAGAAAAUAAAUGUCCUCGUCAAUGACCCUUUAUGGGAGUGGUGAACCAUUUGGGAUGAGCUUAAAUCUGUUUGUUAUGUUUAUCCAUCAACAAUGAGAUUCAGAGUUGAAAUGCCUAUAUACUGCUUGGUAUCAAAUGCAUAGGUCAGUUUUCGCAGAUGGGUUUACUCUUUUCCUUUCUUUCUUUUUUCUUUUCUUUUCCUUUUCCUUUUUUUUUUGUGGCAAUGCUGCAGUUCUUCAUGUUAUUAAUGUCCUGUUUUUGCUUCUUUAUUUUUUUUUGCCCCCUAAAAUUUUCUGAGUACAACUGAACCUUCUUUAGCGGAACUGGACCAAGUAACAUCAGCAACGCCUGUAAAGAGAGAAUGAGAACAAAUGCCCGCAGAGGGCUCAAUCACUAAAAAUUGAGAGAGAGAAGAGGAUUGUAACUUCUGCUCAAAAAUGGAAACAGUAGAAAGCCAUUAGAUAGAUUGACAAUCUUUGUUCUCCAUGACUUGGGCAGUUGAGAUGAAUUUAAUGUUUAAACCCAAGUGCCUUAAGAUAGAAGGGAAUUUUCCUAUUAGACAAUCUCUGCGUUGAAUUUCACAUGCAUGUACUGCAUCCCUAUCUAUCGGCAGCUCUACUUUAGAACUUUUUUAAAGUUCUUUGGUAUUGGUUAAUUUCAUGCAUUUUUUUGGAAGCAGACUAUUUAUCUAAACAAUGUCAAAAUGCUCACAAUUUGGGACAUGCUUAACUAAAGUAUCAAAACAUUGAGAUGGGUCACUGUUGUCCGGCACUUAUGGAAUGCCUUGAGAUUUUCUUAAGGCUUUGGAAAAAGGCAUGCCUCUUGGUUAGCUUGAAUGCUGGAACUAAUGUUAAAUUAUUUUCCAUGCAUCAUGACCAACAAUGUUUUGUUACAACCUGUUUUUUGUCAUGUGCACACGCUAGUAAAAGUUGUUUAAGAUUUAUGCUAUUGUUUGUUAAUGACAGAUUGUAUGGUUUUGUUUCUGGUGAUAUGACUAUGGGAUCAGAACCUAUAUGAUUUUUAUUCCAUUUGGGCCUAACAUGAUGUUAUUAGUCGGCACUCUGAGCUGCUGAAAUUUUAAUCGAUAGUCUCUAGUAGUUCUCUAAAUGUGGCAUGACUUUGCAGAGCCAAGGAAGGAAACUGGUGAAAUGAAGCAGGUGAGUCAAAAAGUUAUACUCUGAUCUUCAGUCAGGGAACAUGCUGCUGCUGGAAGUUUUGUGCGGAAAGCGCUUAGGCUGCUGUUUGGAGUGGCAGAAAUCAAGCUCAACCCUCGGCCAUGACAACUAUCAGAAACACAAUAUGAGAUGUUAAUUUUUCCUUGAUAGAGCGAAGGUAUAUUGCAACAAGUAAUGUAGAACGCACGCUUGAGGUUGGAAGAAAGAAGAAUUUCCCCAGUACUUAUUUUCCCCCAUAAGGGAAAAGGGAAAGGGAUCAAUAAAUGAAACCCCAUUCUGUUUUGAUAUAGAAAAAAGAAAUGUUUUAAUUACGUUGGUAGUGAUGUAAAAUUAAGUAGAAUGAUACGGUAUUCAAAGAUGCAAAAGAGCAGCCACAUUUGAAGGGCCUGAGUUGAAAAUUCCAAGGUUGGCGGGGAUUUAAAAACAAUGUCCUUGCUGACCUAACCAAUGUAGGAAAAUCUACAUAACUCCCCUGCUUGAGCUGCUGGUUCUUGAUCUCUCGGUUGUAUACGAACUUUCCUUCCAUAAAGGUCUGAAUGACUCGUGACCGAGCGGCAAUGGCCUUUCUGGUAACCUGGGGAUGUCAAUGUCGCCCUCUAACAUUUUUAGAGCAUCGGCAAUGGUAGGUCUGAAAGCUACCAUAACGUGAGCACAGAGAAUGCCAACAAGAACAAAUCUCUCCAUUAUCCCUUUGGGUCCCUGAUCCCUUAUCGACUCGUCGAGAAUUUCCUGUAACUUUCCUGAUUUCGCUAGUGUCCAUGCCCAAUCUGUAAUCAAAAGGAAUGAUGAGUUUGAUGUAUCAAUCACCUUCCUGCCGCUCAUGAUUUCAAGAAUCACAAUUCCAAAACUGUAAACAUCACUUUUCUCUGUCAGUUGCCCGUAUAGAGCAUAUUCCGGUGCCAGGUAACCAUGUGUGCCGGCUACUCUUGUGGUGAGAUGAGACUGGCCAUCCAAACUUUGCUUAGCUAACCCGAAAUCUGCAACUUUUGCUUUCAUUUCCAAGUCUAAGAGUAUGUUAGUGGCCUUAAUGUCACGGUGAUAAAUGGCAGGUUUGAUACCAUAGUGCAAGUAAGCAAGUCCUUUGGCCACGUCCAGAAUGAUAUUCUUACGCUGAGGCCAAGUUAAUUGCUUCCUGCUAUGGUCAUUGGAUAAAUGGUCACCGAGGCUACCAUUAGACAUGAAAUCAUAAACAAGGUAUCUCCUUUUACCUUUCGAGUUAUCACUCGUAACACAGCAUCCUCGCAGAGAGAGAAGAUUCCUGUGCCUUAUUUUGCUUAUGAUCUCAACCUCAUUGGAGAAGUCUUCAUCACCCUGCGAAUCCAAAUCAUGCAUUUGUUUCACUGCAACCAAGGUGCCAUCUGCUAGAGUUCCUUUGUACACAGCCCCAUAAGCUCCUUGGCCGAUGAAAUUCCUUUGAGAGAACCCUUGUGUGGCUCGUUCAAGUUCUGAUAAAUGAAACCAUUUUGCACCAGAGUUAGGCAGCAUGCUGGCCUUGAAACUGCUGACAAAUCUUUCAUGUGAAGCACUGGCCUUCCUCUUCCUGUCCCAUUUUCUAUACAUGGCGAUCAGUCCAAAAGCAAGCAAGACACCAAUCAGAGAGCCCAAUAGCCCAAAUACGAGUAACUUAUCUUCGCUCUUGGCUGGCUUUUCAGUACCUGAGUUAGCCAGUGGCAAGGCUAGGGUGCAGACAGCUGUUUUGGCAUCCAGGGGACCAAGCUCGCUCACAAUCCCAGCAGCAUAUAAACAAGUAUAGUUGAAGCACUUGGAGGUGGCGGUGGCAUUUGGGUCUAGACUCGUUAACUGAGAAUUUACCUUCUGCCCUGCAUCAAGACAUGAGCUGCACCUCAUUCGUUCUGAAAGAUCGCCUCUGCAAGCCGUGUUUAACGGGGUCAUUGGACCAACCUUCGCAAUCCAAUCCUGUGUAGUAACGAUUCCAACACAACUAGAAUUGCUACUAACAAAUUGACUCGAGUUCUUGAAGCAAGAAGGGACUAAUGAUGGGUCUAUCGACAAGGUGGCAAGUUUGGCUUGAAAAUCAGACAAACAGGCAGAUGAAGCAUUUGAAUUAGGAAAUUGAAACAUGGAGGUCUCUCUCAAGUGUUGGGCAAGUCCCAUGCCCAAGACACUGAGAAGAGUCUGGCAGCAAUGUUCUAAUCCAUCAGGUUGACGGCACAGCGAUGUGUCCCACGGCACGGUUUGGACGUAGCUGAGAUCUACGGGACAUGAAGAAGCGGCUGAAACUGGAUGAAUGGAUAAAAUGGUGAAGAAGAAGAAGAAGCAGGGGCAGAGAGAGGAAGAGAAGAGCAGGUUGUUUCCCAUUUUUGUGUGCGGCUCACAUGUUGGGCUUGUAUAAAGUUACUUAUUUGUUGUGCUUUGAACAGAACAAUCAAUCAAUGUUGGCUGGCUGUGGCUGUGGCCGUGGUCAAAACUCACUUUUUGGUUUUGGACACGGAAUAAACGCACGCGCGGAAACACACAAAUAUAGGUACUUUAUUUUUACUUGGGAACGCGGGUGAAACCGUGUUCCCACAAAAUUUAAAAUUUUUAAUUUUUUUUGUUAAAAUUUAAUAUAAUUUGUAUUUUUUAGAUCGUUUUGAUGUGAUGAUAUCAAAAAUAAUUUUUAUCAAAUAAAAAAAAUUAUUAACAUGCAUUUCAGCAUAAAAAAUUAUUUGAAAAGCAACCGCUACCACACUGACAAACAUACUUAUUACUCGGUAGGUAAGUGAAAGAUCUUCUUUUCUUUUCAAAAAUAUUUUAAAAUAAAUCUAAAAAAUUUUAAAUUUUUUAUUUCAAAUUAAUUUUUUAUAUAUUUUUUAAAAUCAUUUUGAUACAAUGAUGUUAAAAAUAAAUUUUAAAAAUUACAAAAUAUUUUGAAACAUUACUGAAAACAAUACUACAAGUUUUGAAACAAUAACAUAAAUUAAAAAAAAUAUUUGAAAAAUAACAUAGUUUGAUAACUAUAUUUAAAAAUAUCGUUUCUAUAUACAACUAUUAUUUAAAAUAAUAGGCAAGUUUCAUAAUAUAUUUUUACAAGCAUCAACUUUUUGAAAUAACGGUUGUUUAGUCAUGUUUCAAGAUAUGUUUUUUUUUGCAAAUUAAUUAACCUAAAAAAAAAUAAAUGCAAAAUCUUAUAAAGAUCUAAUAGUUAAAAUAUAAGAUUCAAGAUUCAAUGGUUAAGAAAGAAAUAUGAUAUAAGAGGAUAUGGCAGGAAAGAGAAAUGAAAGAAGAAAAAAAGAAUAGGUCACCAAAGACACAUCGAGCUUCAUUUUCAAUACAUCUAAUACUAUUAUAAAAAUUUUGACGAGAUGAUUCUAACUACAUAUUGGAAGAACAAAUAAGAUUAUAAUUAACCUUGAACAAAAUGCUUAACAAAUUAUGAUCAUGUUUGGUGGUCUUUUAAGAUAUAGUUAAAAUCGUUUCAUUAAAAUCUUUUUAAAGGUACUAAAUGUGUUAAAAAUAAAGCUUUAGUGUGUUUCUGAUGACUUAUUUUUUUUAUCGAUCAUUAGAUCUUGAAUCUUAUUUUGCAUCCAUUAAAAUUUCAUUAGUUUUUAGAUUAAUUAAUUAAAUUAAAUUAAGAGUGACAUGAUUUUUAAACACAACUACUAUUCUCGAUAAUAGUUGUAUUCAGAUUGUCUUAAUUUCCAUAGACUUUUAUCAAACUACCUUGGAAUUCUAAAAUAUCCCUUAUUGAUUUAAUGUCAUCUCAGGCGUUUCAUAAACCUCCUAUCUGCCACCCCCUCAAUUAAACCACCGUAAUGUCUUUGGUUUGCAUUAAAAAUAUUGUUGUUGGGUUGGUAAAAUUAUAAAGUAUUGCGUAUAGGUAAUAAUAUAUAUAUAUAUAUAUUAAAAUUAUUUUUAAUAUCAACGCAUCAAAAUAAUCCAAAAAUAUAAAAAUAUUAAUUUGAAACAAAAAAAUAAAAAAAUUUCAAAUUUUUUCAAAAAUACUUUUAAAACAUAACAAAAAACCGCCUUCAAUUGUCAUUUACAACUUUAUUUAGACGUCCAAUUGAAGUGGCUGUAGUCAACUAAUGUAGCUUAUUAAAAUUAAAAAAAAAAUGAAUCAAAUGAACUCUUGAUUUUAGUAUUGAUCAUGAGAUAAAUUACUAUAGAUUAACAUCAAUUAUUUGGCUUUUUUAUUUAUUAUUUUUUUAAUUUCAUCCUCCAACAUUAUAUUUAUUACAAAUUAAACUUUAAAUUUAUUUUCUAUGAAGUUAUUGUCUUCUCAAAAAAAAAAUCUUGACAUUGAAGAGGCACUUAAUUUUGCAAAAAAAAAAAAUAAUUUUAUUAUUUUUAAUAGAUUGAAAAUUAAAAGAUCAAAAUUUAAAACAAGAAGAAAUGACAAACCUUUUGUUUUUUUGUUUUUUGUUUUUUUUUUUAAAUAUGGUCUUAGUGAUUUUUAGAGAGUCUAGCCUUAGGAUUGUUUUUAAGUUUUUUAUUUUUAUUUUUUAGUUUAGCGAUGAAACAUUUUAGUCUGAAAAUUAGUUUGUUCACAUUUUAUUUUUUAAAUUUAAAAAAAAAAGAAAAAGAGUUGUUAAAAAACAAUGAAGAAGAGAUAAAUUUAUCGAUUAGCCACAUCCAACAAUGAACAUGAUUCUUUUUAGUGUUAACAAGUUUAUUUUUUUGAGAGAAAUUUAAUAAGAGGGUGUUUUCCUAUAAACAUGUCGGAAAAAAUAGACUGGGAUUCGUUUAGCUUUUUUUUAUUAAUUCAAUUGGUUAUUUCUUUUAAGAGUGAUUUUGUUUUGGGAGGGGGGAUUGAGAAUGAGUCUAUCAAGUUUUUUUAUAGUAUUUUUGAAGUAUUUUCAAGUAAAAAUAAAUUGAUAUGUAAAUUUUUGGGGUUAAGAAACUUAGACCUCAUUAUUCAAUCAGGUGACUUGUUAUGGAAAAAAAACAUUUAGAGCACAUGACUCCUUCGGAAAAAUAAUAAAAAACAAAGCUAGUAACAUGAUCCUAGCUUUAUUUUUAAUGGACUAGGUGUGCUAAGCACCUAUGAUUUUGUAUUUGGCUAGUUUUUUUUUUAAUUUUUUUUCUUGAAUUUAAAUUUAAUGUAUUUUGAAUUAAUUUAUUUAAAAUAUAUUACAUGUAUAUUAUUUUAUUAAAAUUUUAAAUUAAUUAAUAAUAUAUUUCAGAAAAUAUUUUAUUAAAUACCAUUCAAUUUGUUUUUGUUUUGUUUUAUAUAAAAAGUGUAACAAUUUUUUAAGAACAUAGCAACAUUAUUUUUGUACAAUCAACCAUGAUCUUUUUUUUUAUUAGGUUGUUUUUAUUGGAGUGUUAAUUUUUAUUAUUAUAUAAUUAAAUAAAAAAUGUUAUUAAACUUAAUCAGGUUCAUGACAGGGAUAGUAAGUUUAACAAGUUAGCCAAGAUUAACCUAAAUCGAUUCAAGAUACCUUUAUAUCAAUAUAUAAAAAAAGAUUUUAUCUUAAAUUUUUUUAAAUCAAACCAUAUUUUUAUCAGUUGUCUAGGUUGUCAAGGACUUGUUAAAUCAUCUAGGUCAAACCUAUAUGGUUUAAUUUAAAAUUUAAUUUAGUCAAGAAUUUAAGUUGGGGAGUUUCAAGAUUGAUACUCUGGAUCAAAUCUAAUGACACUGCUAAAAAGUUUAUGUAAGAAUAUAUAAGUGUUGUAUUUUUUAUGUUUGUUCAUACACUCACAUCAAAAUUAUUAAGAUGUUUUUUUAUAUAAUUAAAACUUGCUUUUGAAACAGAAUCCUAACAAGCAUAUAUUAUGUUGAAAAAUUUCGUUAAAAGUUCAACCCGUCAAUGCAACAAAGAGUUUUGGUUUGGGAGAUAUUUUUUUGUUCUUAUAUGUGUUGUGAUUGCUUUUAAUUUUAUUACGAUAAAAAUGGAGUCCUCUAAAAGUCAAUAGCCAACGAGAGGCAUGGCGGCGACCUGGGAGACGACGGUGGAAGACCAAUCUUCGGUUGACGAGGGUGAUUGGUUUGAUUUAUUUUUAUAUUUUAAAAAAUUAAAUGAAUUCAAUUUAAUCCAUAAAAUUUUUAAUUAAGGUAGAAUUUGAUUUAAUGAGCUUUUAAUCUAAAACGAGCUUUUAGUUUUUUUGUAAGUUUUUUUUCUUAGGUUUGAUUUUUGAAACUGAAAUAAUUUUAUUUUUUAAUUUCCUAACUAAAAUUAUAAAAUAAAAUAAAAGCAUUAGAUUUAAUUAAUUUUGAAUUAAUUUUUGAUGAAUAUUUUAAAUAAUCCAAUUAAUUUUCUCACCCUCCUAGUGGCUUCGUUUCAUUGUCCAAGUUUUUACAAGUGGAGACCAUGAGAUUUCAACACUUAGCGAACUCAUAAUUUUGAAUUAAUUUUUUAAUGUUUUUAAGACAUUAAUAUAAAAAAUAUUUUUUUAAUAUACUUUUUUAUUUAAAAUAUAUUUUAAAAAAUAGUUUUAAUAUAACAAUUCGAAACGAUAUCUAAAUAAUAAUUAUAAAAUCACAAAAGAAUUCAAAAUUCACCGCUUAAAGUUAAUGAGGUGAUCAUAGUUUUUUGUUCUUAUAAUUGGUAAUUCUUAGUCAAUUUCUAACUAGUUCAAGACAAAUUUCUUAUUUAUCAAUGCAUUUUUUUAGUCUCUAUAUAAAUUUCUUGGAUUCUAUUUAUGAAAAUAAACUAUUCUGAAAAUCCAAUUGUUAAUUUUUUUAAUUUUAUAUUUAUUGAAAAUUUUGGUCGCAUAUUUUUUUUUGAAUUAAGGUCAUUUCCUUCUCUUAUUUUAUUAUAUUCAUUAUUUUAUUUUUUCAGAAUGGACGAGUUUGGUGUGUUAACAGAACGUUUUGGGUUAAAACCGCAAGGAAAAUCGGCUCCAAUGUCUGCAUCGAGAGGACCCAAUAACGCCCAAACUCGAGAUUUCCCUUCUUCAAACCCGAAAUCCAACUCAUAUUCUUCUAAAUCAACUUUCAACUCCAAUUCAUAUAAUGGGUCUUUCAUGGAUGAUCACGAAACUCUCUUUAGCAAUUCAAAAUCCCAGAAUUUUGGUUAUGAUUUUGACAUUUUUGGUGGUUUUCAAAAGAAUUCAAAACAGACGAGUACUGGGUUUGGUUUCGAUUUUGAUUCUGUGUUUUCAAUUACUAAGAGUUCGAGUGUGCAAUCGUCUUUUGUUGAUGAUAUAUUUGGUGGGUUAAAUGGGUCUAGUUCAUCAGUUAAUAGCAAUAACAAUAACAACAACAAUAUGAGAUGUUAAUUUUUGCGAGGGAACAUGCUGCUGCUGGAAGUUUCGUGAGGAAAGCUCUUAGGCUGCUGUUUGGAGUGGCAGAAAUCAAGCACAACCCUCGGCCAUGACAGCUAUCAGGAACACAAUAUGAGAUGUUAAUUUUUCCUUGAUAGAGCGAAGGUAUUUUGCAACAAGUAAUGUUGAACGCACGCAUGAGGUUGGAAAAAAGAAGCAUUUCCCCAGUACUUAUUUUCCCCCAUAAGGGAAAAACGAAAGGGAUCAAUAAAUGAAACCCCAUUCUGUUUUGAUAUAGAAAAAAUAAAUGUUUUAAUUACAUUGGUAGUGAUGUAAAAGAGCAGCCACAUUUGAAGGGCCUGAGUUGAAAAUUCCAAGGUUGGCGGGGAUUUAUAAACAAUGUCCUUGCU
rnacentral:lncRNA from 1 species